UACGUAGGGUGCGAGCGUUAAUCGGAAUUACUGGGCGUAAAGCGUGCGCAGGCGGUUUUGUAAGCCAGAUGUGAAAUCCCCGGGCUUAACCUGGGAAUGGCAUUUGGGACUGCAAGGCUUGAGUGCGGCAGAGGAGACUGGAAUUCCUGGUGUAGCAGUGAAAUGCGUAGAUAUCAGGAGGAACACCGAUGGCGAAGGCAGGUCUCUGGGCUGACACUGACGCUCAUGCACGAAAGCGUGGGGAGCAACAAGG
rnacentral:rRNA from 1 species